AGAGUUUGGAUCCUGGCUCAGAUUGAACGCUGGCGGCAUGCCUAACACAUGCAAGUCGAACGGUAACAGGACGCUGGGAUCCCUUCGGGGUGACCUUGUCGCUGACGAGUGGCGGACGGGUGAGUAAUGCAUAGGAAAUUGCCUUGAAGUGGGGGAUAGCCCGGAGAAAUCCGGAUUAAUACCGCAUGCGCUCUACGGAGCAAAGCGGGCCUCUGAUUUAAGCUCGCGCUUUGAGAUAUGCCUAUGUCGGAUUAGCUAGUUGGUAGGGUAAAAGCCUACCAAGGCGACGAUCCGUAGCUGGUUUGAGAGGAUGAUCAGCCACACUGGGACUGAGAUACGGCCCAGACUCCUACGGGAGGCAGCAGUGGGGAAUAUUGGACAAUGGGCGCAAGCCUGAUCCAGCAAUGCCGCGUGUGUGAAGAAGGCCUGCGGGUUGUAAAGCACUUUUAUCGGGAAAGAAAAUCUCAGGGUUAAUACCCCUGGGCCUUGACGGUACCCGAAGAAUAAGCACCGGCUAACUCAGUGCCAGCAGCCGCGGUAAUACUGAGGGUGCAAGCGUUAAUCGGAAUUACUGGGCGUAAAGCGAGUGUAGGCGGCUGCGUAAGUCGGAUGUGAAAGCCCCGGGCUCAACCUGGGAAUUGCAUUCGAUACUGCGCGGCUAGAGUCUGAUAGAGGGAAGUGGAAUUCCAGGUGUAGCGG
rnacentral:rRNA from 1 species